AUUGAACGCUGGCGGCAGGCCUAACACAUGCAAGUCGAACGAGUGGCGGACGGGUGAGUAAUGUCUGGGAAAAUGCCUGUUAGAGGGGGCUAACUACUGGAAACGGUAGCUCAUACCGCAUACCAUCGGAUCUGCCCAUAUGUGAUUCGCUAGUAGGUGGGGUAAAGGCUCACCUAGGCGACGAGCCCUAGCUGGUCUGAGAGUAUGACCAGCCAGACUGUGACUGAGACACGGUCCAGAGUCCUACGGGAGGGCGCAGUGGGGAAUAUUGCACAAUGGGCGCAAGCCUGAUGCAGCCAUGCCGCGUGUAUGUAGAAGGCCUUCGGGUUGUAAAGUACUUUCAGCAGGGAGGCGUUACCCGCAGAAGAAGCACCGGCUAACUCCGUGCCAGAAGCCGCGGUAAUUC
rnacentral:rRNA from 1 species